rnacentral:tRNA from 1 species
GGACAGGUGGCGGAGCGGCUGAACGCGCCGGUCUCGAAAACCGGUUUGCCCUUCGGGGCAACGUGGGUUCGAAUCCCACCCUGUCCG